rnacentral:sRNA from 1 species
UUUUUUUGUUUUUUUCUAUGACUUAGAUGAUAUGCAGACUCAAAUGAUAUUCACAAAAAACAAGUCAAAUAUGUCUUGAACCCUCCCCCAAACUUAAAUUACACAGUCCCUUGUGUAAUCAAAAUUUGUGAAAGAAUUCAAGAUAAACACAGAAACAAAAACAAAAGCGAUAUUUACAAAGGGUUUUGGUGUGUUACCUCAGUAGAAUGUCCUGGAGAUGUUGUCAUCCAUAUCUGCUUGAGUGUACUCAGCUGGCAUGACCGGUUCUUGAUGUGGCUCCGCCAUCUCCUCGUCAUUGUGCUCGAUUGCAACCCCAGCAGGUUGUUCAGCACGACGCUCACGUGUUCUCCACCCCAACAUUAUCUGACCCUUGCUUGAUGAUCGAACCAUCCUAGCGCUCUUCCGCCUCUUGUGCUCCCUGACCUCGUGAGACGAGUGUCGUGCGGGUUCUUGCGGGACAGCGCGUUCUCUCUGUUGAUAAGCAGAUUGGCUUGGCGGGGCAAUGUCAUGACGCCUGGAUGGCAUGUCUUCUGGCGGGUUGUCUCUGGUGAUCGCACUAGUGGAUGUGGUGCAACUGAUUGCCUUCUGCAUGUUGUCAAUGGCCUUGACACACUUAUGGAUGAUCUUGUCUUGAAACUUGCACCACCUUUGGGUUAGACUGAGCUUCCGGUGUGCUUCAGCGAGACUCUUGCUUUCUCGUGAAGGGGGCUUGUGUUCUUCAAAGUGGUAGCGGCUCGUGUCAUAGUUCUCCCAAUUGGUCUCCUCAUUGUCACUCUAACCUUCUACUUCUUUAGCAUUCCGGGACGCGGAUCCUCCAAUCACAGCAUGGAGGAUUUCUUGUGGUGGCGAGAAGUCGAUGUUAUCUCUCACUGUGAUGGUUGUCAUUUCAUUGAAUGGGAGAAGAAUAGUUGCUUCGCCUGUUGACGGGUGAUCAAACUUGAAAGCGUACCUCCCGUCAUAGACCUUAUGCUCGAUCACAUGAGCAAGCUUGAGAUGGGCGAUAUCCAUCCAACGUGGUUGGAUUGGAUCCGGUCGCAGCGGGACGUCGCACGAUAGGAGAAUUGGUGUGACCACUCCUCCAAUGCAAAGGGCUCCUUUCGCGUUCUUCUUGUCAUUGGCCAUCGUCCACCCUCUGUAGCUGCAUAAGUGAUUGAGGAGAUACAUUGACGGAGGUGUGUCAUUGGUAUCUCCCUUCAUCGUUUUCCCGUCGUUGGUGUAACGGAGAAAACUUAGCAGCGCCAGGUCUAACGUCUCCAUGUCUUGGUUCGUCACAGUGGCGGAUAUCUCCCUAGCAUAAGGGACAUUGGCCAUGGCUCUCUGGAAAUAGCGAAUGGCGGGAUUGCAAAUGGAGUUACUCUUGGAUCUUGCGGAGUUAAAGCUGGUGGUGUCUCCGAUCGUGUUCCACAAAGAUUUCAAUUCCUCUCGGGCAAACUUCGGUUUCAUUCCCGUGCCACUGGGAAACCCAAACAUGGAUUUCAGCGUCUUGAUCGCCAUGAUAUAGUCGCGGUCGUCGAUGGUGAAGCUUAAGUAACCAAGCCCUUCUUCUCUUAACUCAGCAGCUGACAACCCCUCAAACAAUUCCACUUGAAGUGAUGAAAGGAAUUGAAGUGUCUCAUCCUCAUAGGUAGGAUAGGGAUGAGACAUGAGUGUUAUCAUGUGGCAUUUCUCGAACAAGAGUUGAACGUCUUCCAAGAUGCCUAACUCCGCCAUUGUCUCCGGGUGAGGAUAUCUUGUUUCCCAAAACGGAUUUCUUUUGAGAGCCUUGUAGUAGUCUCCCGGGGUCAGCUUGUCUUCUUUCAUUAGGGACUUGGUGGUCUUGCGGGUUUGCUCCGGAAUGUACUCCGCAUCAUCUUCUAUCUCUUCAUCAAUUAGCUCAUAAUUUUCCGUCACUAUUAGCUCAUUGACCUCUUCCCUCUGGCUAUCUCUUCUCUUCUCCUGUCAUUGGCGACUGCUCGCUCUGUUUCCUCUACAAAUCGCCUAUACUCAUCUGCUUCUCUCUCUAGCCUAGUUGACCAAGAUUCAGCAUCAUCAACACUGUAGUCAGCAUCCAUAGAUGAUUCGUAGCUGUGUGAACUCAUCUUGAAGCUGAAAUCGAUUUGAAACUCACAACUAAAGCUCAGUAGGUUAGUGAGAAACAAACAAAGACAAUGAAAGAAAUGACUUCUUGUUGAUAUAGAGUUGUGAUCGAGUAGAAUUUGAUAGUGAGAGCUCAGGUCGCGAUCGAGUGAAGCAAGCAAAUGAGAGACAGGGUUGCGAUAGAGUAGUUUCUGAGAGCGUUUUUGGUAGUGAAGUAGAGAAAUAAACAAGAGAGAUGUUUUGAAAUCUCAAGUGAUGAAGAAAAGUGAAGAGUAGUGACACUUAUCUCCCUUCGCGAUUUGAAUGAGUGGAGGAGGUGUGUUGCUUUUAAACGGACGGAUAGGAUGCAAUGCCCGUUAUGAUGUCGGCAAAGUGAUAAGGUGACAAAGCAUGGUGCUUUAUGUCGGCAGGAUGGGGUUCCUUCAGGUCACGCGCCUUGUGAUCGAGUAUGGGCUAUUGAUCCUUUAAUUUCGUGUCAUGGGCUACAAGUGGACACAACAUGUGCUUUUUGGAGUUUCGGUGGAAAUUGAAAUCCAGUAGGCUUAAUGGGACUAAGGUUUGACAUUGACGUUUUGUGGACACUUUCACUCCUCCUUGCGAUCUAGUAGAAAAUUGUUAUCCCGAAUCUGCUAGAUCGCACUGCUGAGCUUUCACUCCUAUGUUGUGAUCGAGUAUUUGUAAAAAUUUUGGAAAUUUUUCAUUUUAACACUCGAUCACAUCCUUGUUGAUUACUCCAGCUGUUAUUCAUUUCCUGAGAUUCAAAGACACAACCAAAACGAAUCAAAAGUAACAAAUAAAUAAAAAGUAUAUACAGGGAUAGUCAUGGGACUUCCUCCCAAGUGAGCUUGUUUAAAGUCUCUAGCUUGACUCCUCACACUAAUCAAGUGGAGAAAAUGUGACAGAGGGAACUUGAGAAGUCCUCCUCUUCACUGAUAUCAUCAUCAUACUCAGCAUCCUCCCUUGACAGUUGCACAGCUGAGUACUCAAUUCUUCUUUCCUCAUAGUAGGCUGCUUCCUCCUCUGGAGGAUAGUCUUUCUCUUCUGACCAAUCCCAAGUGAUCUCCUUUCUUGAAAUCGUGUCAUGGUUGAGCUGGGGUUGAACCUCCUUUUGCAUUCGACUUAGUUUGUCUCUAAACAUCCUGAACGUCCAUGGAAGAGCAAUGAGACCGCUUUUGAUCUCAAAGUUGUUGUUCUGUACUGGAGGUGGAACAAUUCCAUGACACUGGUUAUGGUUGUGAGGGAAGUCACCA